UUGCAUAGGGUGGCACAGAAGGCUUUUAUUCUAACCUUUGGGAGGUAGAUGCAGGAGGACCAGGUUGUUCAAGGUCAUCCUCAGCUACAUAAUUUUUGGGGCUAGCCUGGACUAUAAAAAGCCCUGUCUCAACCUAGCUUUGGGGGGAAGAGAAUGGUUUGGGAGUAGCCAUUCUUUGGGAUCUUACCCGUAAGAAUGACCAAUGAGCACGUUGCGCUUCUUGGCAUAGCGCGUGAAAAUGGCCCGCAUGUCCUCUGCCAAUGCGUAAAAGGUGUAGGCGGCUGCAACCUGUGGCGCAGAGCUGGCUCCAUGGCCGGCCAGGUCAGGUGCCACCACCUCGUAACCGAGUCGCACAAAGAAGUCCAGCUGCUCCUUCCAGAUGGCGAGUGAGCCACCCACUCCAUGGAUGAAGAACAGCACCACAUCAGCCUGCGCGCCCUUGCAGCUGGUGAUGCGCUGCUCGCAGUCGAUGUGGAUGGUCCUCUUCGGACGCCGUGGACGGCGGCGUCGCCCGCUGCCCGGGGUGGCCCGGGUGUCGCCUCCUGCGGGCUCAGCCAACUCUACCUCAAGUGAGCCAGGCGGGUCCCCGGAGCCACUGCGGCCUUGCAGGUCGGCACGAGGCGCUCGGCCCAGGUUCUCCACCACCAGCCUCCCAUUUCGGUACACUGUGAUUCGGCGCUGGCAGCGCACAAGGCCCGUCUUGACCCCUGGAUUAUCUUCAGGAGGAGGGGGUGGCGGUGAGGGGAUGGGCGCGGGGCACGCAUGCUUUACCCGCAGCACCCGGCCUGGUUUGACCUCCACGAACGUGUAGCCGUCACUGGACUCGACGCUCUCCAGCGGCCGCACGGCGUUAGGGGGAGUCCCCAGCAGGCAGCAAAAGAAGCCAUCUGUCACGCCGGUCAGCAUGGUGUGUCCUGGAGGGAGGGACAGUGGCUAGCUCAGGGUCAGUAGCUCUGCUCCUGCAUCGGGUAAGCAGGACCUGGAGGGGCCUUCUAGGUCCCUUGACACCCCAAUGCCAGACAAGUUCUCAGGGUGUCCCUUGUACAGUACUGAAGAGAGCAUGAGAACACUAAAGCAAGAGCCCUUUGCAGGGG
rnacentral:lncRNA from 1 species